GAUGAACGCUGACAGAAUGCUUAACACAUGCAAGUCAACUGUGGCGGACGGGUGAGUAACGCGUAAAGAACUUGCCUCAAAGUUAGGGACAACAUUAGGAAACGAAUGCUAAUACAUGAAACUGUGAGAGAGCUUUGCGUCCCAUUAGCUAGUUGGAGAGGUAACGGCUCACCAAGGCGAUGAUGGGGAGCCGGCCUGAGAGGGGGAUCGGCCACAAGGGGACUGAGCCACGGCCCUUACUCCUACGGGAGGCAGCAGUGGGGAAUAUUGGACAAUGGACCAAAGUCUGAUCCAGCAAUUCUGUGUGCACGAUGAAGUUUUCGGAAUGAACAGUGCUUUCAGUUGGGAAGCGGUACCAACAGAAGAAGUGACGGCUAAAUACGUGCCAGCAGCCGCGGUAAUAC
rnacentral:rRNA from 1 species